GGUCCAGUAGCUCAGUGAUUAGAGUACUGGCAUAUAUUUUAUCCAGGAGAUCCUUGGUUCAAUCUCAGGUUGGGUGA